rnacentral:lncRNA from 10 species
AUAGUACUGCAGGACCAUUCUGUUCUCAGGAUAUGAAUUUUUAGGUAUUUGUGGAAGCCCACUCACCCAAAAGGGAGUGGGCUUGUGUUUCAAAGUAUAGCCCUCUGGGCCUAUACUAAAGACAAAAAGACUCUCUUUCAAACCGUGACUGUCAAAUCUGGCUUACUGAUAUUUGCUUUGAAUUUGUAUGUUAUUUCUGAAAUACCGUCUCUCACAGGACACAGAAUAUGCUGCAAAGAAUUUGCUUCAUGCCAAGACAUAGUGCCUCCACGCAGAAACCCUGAGAAACAAAAGAAUGAGAACCUUGUCUCUGGGGUCAAUAAAUCUAAGCUUUGUUGGCACCAAAUGGGACACUCCAGUGAUUCUCAAGCACCCAGGCUGAAGGAUCAACUCUGCUUUGGGACAUGCUGUUCUUGUGACACAGAGAAAGAACAAGAGGGUCGGGAAAAUGUGCAGUGGCUUUUACAGCUUUUGACUGGGUGUGGCAUAUGUCACUUUUGCUUACAUCUCAUUGGCCAAAAACAAGUCACAUGGCUAAGCCUAAAAAUAGAGUGAGAUAUUCUAUGGAGAGGCAUCACUAAUUACAUGGCAAUGAUAAGAAUGAAUGAUUCUCCUAUAGGAAAGAAGGGGUAAAUAUUAUAAUUAAGAACACUAGCCACAGAAAGUUUUACAAAGGCAUCAGGGAUGCAAGAUCUUUAAACUUGCUACUGAUGGCACCUGCAGCACAUGGUUUCUGUCCUAUUUUUAAGAUGACUGCACUAUUCCCAGCCAGCACAUCUGCAUUCCAGCUAGCAGGAAUUAGUGGGAGAAAAAAGAGCAUUCCCUCUCCCUUCUAUUUACAUCCCAUUGGCCAGAGCUUAGUCAUAUAGACAGCCAUGAAAGAUUGGUCUUUAUCGCAGGAAGCCAUAUAUCCAGCUAAAAACUAAGGAUUGCAGAACUAAGGAAGGUGGAACAACUGGUAUCUCUGCCACAGAAUCCAUUCCAAAUCUCGUGGUUUGUGAGGAAAAUGGCCAUCCAUCUAACUGUGCCACCAGAAAGAUGCCCAACCCAGGAAACCAAACAAAUCACCUGUACUCACAAAUUUAAUAGGCAUUUAAUAAUAAACACCUAUUGUGUGCUAACAACUCAUAAUAAUUACAGAAUCAGAAAUAAACCCUUCUCUCAAGAAGCUCACUUGCUGUGAUCCUAUGUGCAUCAGUUAGUAAUUACUGUGUAACAACCCCCACACACACAAAAUUUAGUGGUUUAAAACAAAAAGGUUUUAUUAUUGUUCAUGAGUUUACAGGUUAGAUGAGUGGGUCUGCCUACCUGAGCCAAGCUUGGCUGAUCUCAGCUCUCAUACAUCUGCAGUCAGCUGCAAAUGAAAGCUUUAUUGAUUUUUGGUGGCCUUCUCUGGGACAUUCAGACUGAUGUGGUUCUGGUUCACAUUAUCUUUUAUCCUCCAG